CCUCUUCCCAUUCCGAACAGAGAAGUUAAGCCCGUCAGCGCCGAUGGUACUGCGUAAAAGUGGGAGAGUAGGUCGCUGCCAAUU
rnacentral:rRNA from 1 species